GGGAAUUCGAGUGACUCCAACCCCAUGUGACCUUACCUAUCGUUGCUUCGGCGGCCCGAAUCUCGCGGCCGCCGAAGACCCCAAACCCUCAUGUUUUUAGUGGUUUUCUCCUCUGAGUGACACAUAAACAAAUAAGUAAAAACUUUCAACAACGGAUCUCUUGGCUCUGGCAUCGAUGAAGAACGCAGCGAAAUGCGAUAAGUAAUGUGAAUUGCAGAAUUCAGUGAAUCAUCGAAUCUUUGAACGCACAUUGCGCCCGCCAGUAUUCUGGCGGGCAUGCCUGUUCGAGCGUCAUUUCAACCCUCAGGCCCCCAGUGCCUGGCGUUGGGGAUCGGCGCGGCGCCCCCUCGGGGGCGCUGCCGGCCCCGAAAUUCAGUGGCGGUCUCGCUGUAGCCCUCCUCCGCGUAGUAGCACAACCUCGCGGCCUGGAGCUCGGCGGUGGCCAUGCCGUAAAACACCCCACUUCUGAAAGUUGACCUCGGAUCAGGUAGGAAUACCCGCUGAACUUAAGCAUAUCAAUAGCGCGAGAGGAAGG
rnacentral:rRNA from 1 species